rnacentral:tRNA from 1 species
GUCACUCUGCCCGAGUGGUUAAGGGGUAAGUCUCGAAUCAGAUCAAAUUCGAACGCCUUGUGAUAGGUGUGUUAACUUAUACGCUCUGCGUGCACAGGUUCGAAUCCUGUGGGUGACG